rnacentral:lncRNA from 1 species
CACUUGACUAAGAAAAAAAAAAAACACACAACACAACAGAGUUGAAAAGUAUUUGAGAGAGGAAGUCCUAUAGAUAUGUUUGACCUGUCAUUGCACUGCUGCCCAGGUAUCUGCUGUGUCUGGUGGUGGAGGCAGGGCCCAAGGUGAGACAGACUUUUGCUGUGGCCCAGUAUGGCCAUUCUUAUGAUCAUCUGACUUUCUUGUAGAAAGUUUUGUGCUGUCUCACAAGGAAAGAGAAAUACAUCAUGACCCUGAAUAGCAUGUUUAGACGCUGAUUGAAGCCCUGGGCCUGAAGUCCUCAGCAGUGGCUGAAGACACAACCUCAUGUGGGAAGGUUGAAGCUGGGUGCAGGACAAAUGUUUCUGACAACUUUCAUAAUAGGUCUGUACAAGUAUGCCAUGUUCUUCCCAAGGAGGCUUUUUUGAGUGACAUAAAUUGCCAUUAAUGAAAAUUUUAACAAUUCAGGCUAAAUAAUUUUUUAACUUUUAAUGUGCAGAGAUGCAACAUAACAUGGCAGGCCUUGCAAGAGAAGACAUUUGUUUUGGAAAGAAGCUGCAGAGUAUAUUUAUUCAUAGACCAAAAUAAAAGCAGCAUGAACAUUAUUUUUUAAUAGCUC